rnacentral:rRNA from 1 species
AGAAUCAACGCUGGCGGCGUGCCUAACACAUGCAAGUCGAACGAGAAAGUGGAGCAAUCCAUUAGUAAAGUGGCGCACGGGUGAGUAACACGUGACUAACCUACCCUUGAGUGGGGGAUAACCUAGAGAAAUCUGGGCUAAUACCGCAUAAUACCUUCGGGUCAAAGGAGCAAUUCGCUUAAGGAGGGGGUCGCGGCCGAUUAGUUAGUUGGCGGGGUAAUGGCCCACCAAGACUAUGAUCGGUAUCCGG